UACGUAGGGGGCGAGCGUUGUCCGGAUUUAUUGGGCGUAAAGAGCUCGUAGGCGGUCUGUCACGUCGGCUGUGAAAUCCCGAGGCUCAACCUCGGGUCUGCAGUCGAUACGGGCAAACUAGAGUACGGUAGGGGCAGAGGGAAUUUCCGGUGGAGCGGUGAAAUGCGUAGAGAUCGGAAAGAACACCAACGGCGAAAGCACUCUGCUGGGCCGACACUGACACUGAGAGACGAAAGCUAGGGGAGCGAAUGGG
rnacentral:rRNA from 1 species